rnacentral:rRNA from 1 species
UACGUGGGGUGCAAGCGUUGUCCGGAAUUAUUGGGCGUAAAGAGCUCGUAGGCGGUGUGUCACGUCGAUCGUGAAAACUUGGGGCUUAACUCUGAGCUUGCGGUCGAUACGGGCAGGCUAGAGUUCGGUAGGGGAGACUGGAAUUCCUGGUGUAGCGGUGAAAUGCGCAGAUAUCAGGAGGAACACCGGUGGCGAAGGCGGGUCUCUGGGCCGAUACUGACGCUGAGGAGCGAAAGCGUGGGGAGCGAACAGG